GAUUAUUCGAUAUCUCCAUGGAUAUGAUCCUACUGAAGACGUUAGUUUGUCCCUUUUAAUUUCAGUUGCUUUGUGAAUAUCCGUGGCUAUUGUAACUAGCGUAGUCAGUAGUUACUUGAAAUCAAAAUCCAGAUAAUUCAAGUAGACACUGAUCAUAUCUUGGGUUCCUUUUAGAUUGCUUUCAAGGGUUUGAAUGAAGAUUUGAGAAAAGGGUGAUUUGUAGUGUAUGAGGUUUUUUUUUUUUUUUUUUUUAAUUUCCUU
rnacentral:misc_RNA from 1 species